rnacentral:SRP_RNA from 1 species
CGGUGGGCUAGUCAGGGCAGCUAGGCGUCGCUUGUAACCCGAAAUCGCCGAUACGCGGGUGACGAAGCUAAGGCCAGGUGCAUUGACUUUAUGCCAAGUCCGAAAUCUUAACGUUGAAACCUCGUCCUGCUGGGAAUGUGGUGAUUGCCGAGACAAAAGGAGUUUUGGUUCGGCUUUCUUAAUCGUGGGAACCGGUCCAGGCCCGGAAGGGAGCAGACUUACCGCGGACAACAGUCGCUUGCGGGAUUGCGGGGCGGAGGAGAGUUUUCGGAGACUGCUUAAGGAAGAUGUAUCGAACCGAAGCGUGCUCACCU